GAAGGUGGCAAGCGUUGUUCGGAAUCACUGGGCUUAAAGCGCGCGUAGGCGGAAAUUUAGUGUCAUGUGAAAUCCCUCGGCUUAACCGAGGAAUUGCGUGGCAAACGUAGAUUUCUUGAGGCAAGUAGGGGUACAUGGAACUCUUGGUGGAGCGGUGGAAUGCGUAGAUAUCAAGAGGAACGCCAAAGGUGAAGACAGUGUACUGGGCUUGUACUGACGCUGAGGUGCGAAAGCGUGGGGAGCGAACGGGGGAUUAGAUACCCCGGUAGUCCACGCCGUAAACGAUGUCUACUAGGUUGUGGAGGUUCUGACACCCUCACAGUCGAAGCAAAAGUGUUAAGUAGACCGCCUGGGGAGUACGGUCGCAAGGCUA
rnacentral:rRNA from 1 species